AUUGAACGCUGGCGGAAUGCUUUACACAUGCAAGUCGAACGGCAGCACGGACUUGGGUCUGGUGGCGAGUGGCGGACGGGUGAGUAAUGUGUCGGAACGUGCCCAGUCGUGGGGGAUAACGUAGUGAAAAUUACGCUAAUACCGCAUACGAUCUAUGGAUGAAAGCGGGGGAUCGCAAGACCUCGCGCGAUUGGAGCGGCCGAUAUCAGAUUAGGUAGUUGGUGGGGUAAAGGCCCACCAAGCCAACGAUCUGUAGCUGGUCUGAGAGGGCGACCAGCCACACUGGAACUGAGACACGGUCCAGACUCCUACGGGAGGCAGCAGUGGGGAAUUUUGGACAAUGGGCGAAAGCCUGAUCCAGCCAUUCCGCGUGCAGGAUGAAGGCCCUCGGGUUGUAAACUGCUUUUGUACAGAACGAAAAGGUUUCUACUAAUACUAGGAGCUCAUGACGGUACUGUAAGAAUAAGCACCGGCUAACUACGUGCCAGCCGCCGCGGUAA
rnacentral:rRNA from 1 species